rnacentral:lncRNA from 1 species
AGCUGCAAACACAGGCCUGAGCACUCUCCUGGAAUGCACUAGGAGCAACAAUCACCAAAAGUCCUGAUUUGAGGAAACUUCAACGUGGGAGAUGAGGAAGGCCUCAGGAGACAAAACCAAAGGACUGGAGCCAAUCUAAGGCCCGCACCGCUCCUGCCAGAAGCCCGGCUGUGCAUGGCAAUGGGGGAAGACCACGGAUAAGAGCCUGUGGGAAAAUAGCUGAACCAUUUGUGGCCAGCACAAAAGCAGAUGCUGAAGAACCACUGACAUGGACUUCAGAUUCGGAGAAAGCUUUCAUAAUCCUGUAGAAAGUUUUGAUGUCAGCACCCACACUCAAGAUGCUAAAUUACAGUAAGCCAUUCCAUUUACUUGUGCAUGAGAGGAAAAGAGUGGCCUCUGGGUCUUGGCUCACACUUUGGGAGGGCGGAGGUACCUAGUGGCUUACUGUCAGCCCAGUUGGACCCAGUUUUUAAAGGCAUGGCAGGAAGCAUUAGAGCAAUAGCCUCAGCAGCACUGAUAGUAGAAAAAUGUCAGAAGAUUGUGUUAGGACUCUAAGCACCCUAUGUGGUGUUGAAUUGAUGUUAACUAAAUGUGCUUCUUUAUCUAUAUGAGUUUUCAGAGACUCCACAAGUACGAACUGCUGUUGAUGACAGCAGAUAACAUCCUCUUGAGAAGAUGCAAAUCCUUGAACCUGGCAACCUUGUUACCAUUGGUGGAUGAAGGGGACCCACAUCAUGGCUGCAUAGAGCAGGUGAGCCUUGACCCUCAAGGAGUCAGCCCUGAGAGACAUCACACCUCAGAAGUGUCCCAGCUUAGGGAAACUGAGGGUCACAUCCUGCUGUGAUUCCUGGAGAGCUCCGUCAUUUCUCCACGGGGGAUUUCUAUGGGUACCUGUUUCAAGGCAGUACCCCCUUUGUUCAUGGUCAUGGUGUUGAGCAUGCACUUGGUGCUCUGUUAUUGAUGUGCUGUCUGGUUCAAGGAAUGGGCACAUCAAGGCCUUCUGUGGCUCAUAAACCUGAGGAAGACUUACGUCAAGUGCAGGAGAAGAGCAUACCUGCCACAAUAGGAUGGCCCAAAGCACUCACCUUUAUGGAAUGCAGAGGCAGGCAGUAUAAUGAGGUUCUUAUUAAAAGACACGGUGACCAGGCUUGGAAUUCCAGAAAAGGUUGAUUCAAACCAGGGGAGCCAUUUCACAGCUCAGGUUUUAAAAAGGUGAUGUGAAACAUUAGGCGUCACCUAAUACCUGUAUACCCCGUAUCAACCACCAUCGUCAAGGAAAGUUGAAUGAAUGAAUCAGAGCUUGAAAAAUACUGUAUUUAAUACUUGUGCAGAAACCGAUCUGAAGAAGACAGAUGCCUUAACAAUCACUUUAAUGCAUACAAAGCAGAGGCCAAAACAGAUAGGAUUAAUGCCAGCUGGGGUAUUAUUUGGGAGAUAUUUUCAGAUUCCAAAUACUUAUGUAGCUGCAAAGACUGUCUUACUGGGAGGGGAUGAAAGGUUGACUCAGUAUGUGUUGGAGAUCCACAAAUACAUAAAAUCUUGACAAUACUAAGCUCAACUGUAGCAACCACUGUCUUUAGAAGGGAAAAUGCAGCCCUAUGAACAAGAAGAUUACAUAAAAAGAAAAAUCAGUUAAGCCUAAGGUGGGAAUGGCUUUCUUUCAGGGGGUAUUGUUGACUUCUUUUUCAUCAGUACUUGUAAGAAGGAAAAACCCUGGGAUGCACUGUUCUCAUGUGAAAUUUUCCAGGGCUGAAGAAGUCAAAAUUCCCUUGAAAAUUAUAUAGGAAAAAAAAAAAAAAA